rnacentral:rRNA from 1 species
UACGUAGGGUGCAAGCGUUGUCCGGAAUUAUUGGGCGUAAAGGGCUCGUAGGCGGUUCGUCACGUCGGGAGUGAAAACUCGGAGCUCAACUCCGAGCCUGCUUCCGAUACGGGCAGACUAGAGGUAGGCAGGGGAGAGCGGAACUCCUGGUGUAGCGGUGGAAUGCGCAGAUAUCAGGAAGAACACCGGUGGCGAAGGCGGCUCUCUGGGCCUUACCUGACGCUGAGGAGCGAAAGCGUGGGUAGCGAACAGG